rnacentral:sRNA from 1 species
GAGAGACAAGACGGCGACACAAAGUCCAGAAGUCUCCGGCGUUUCGGGGAGGAAACGCCCGUCUGAUAAGAGCGACAGCUCAAAAGAACCGGCCCGCUGCGAUUAUCCCCCGCAGCGGGCUUUUUCUUUUGUGG